rfam:Gossypium raimondii chromosome 5, whole genome shotgun sequence.
AAACCAUGAUAUGGAAACUUGCAUAACAUUAGCUUAAAGUGCUCCCAUGCAUCAUAUAAUGACUCUCCUUCUAAUUGUCAAAAAUUCGUAAUAUCCAUACAAAGUUU